rnacentral:rRNA from 1 species
UACGUAGGGUGCAAGCGUUGUCCGGAAUUAUUGGGCGUAAAGAGCUCGUAGGCGGCUUGUCGCGUCGGCUGUGAAAACCCGCGGCUCAACUGUGGGCGGGCAGCUGAUACGGGCAGGCUGGAGUUCGGUAGGGGAGACUGGAAUUCCUGGUGUAGCGGUGAAAUGCGCAGAUAUCAGGAGGAACACCGGUGGCGAAGGCAGCACUCUGGGCCGGCACUGACGCUGAGAGACGAAAGCUAGGGGAGCGAAUGGG